rnacentral:ncRNA from 1 species
UGUCGGAGUUUUGCGAGGAUCUGUCCUUUGUACGAGAGGACCGGGAUGGACAUACCUCUGGUGCACCGGUUGUCACGCCAGUGGCAUGGCCGGGUAGCUAAGUAUGGACGGGAUAACCGCUGAAAGCAUCUAAGCGGGAAACCCACCUCUAAACCAGAACUCCCUUGAGAGCCGUGACAGACCAUCACGUCGAUAGGAGGCAUGUGGACGGGCGGCAACGCCUGAAGCUGAGCCUUACUAAUCGCUCGA